UAAAUUGAAGCUGGCAAAAAUUUUCUAGAUUGUACACAAAAAGUUUCAUGCCAAUCCAAGGUCUGGAAGUAUUUUUCUCAAAAAAUUUUCCAACAUUGAG